ACUGACUUAAAAUCUCUUCAAGGCUAAGGACAACAUUAGUUAUUUCAGAGAUAACUAGUUCAGUUAAGGUCAAGAUGUCACAUUGUUUGCUUGUAGUCAUUUUCAGCAAUCACACACGACAACUGUCAUCAACAUAUCUCAGUAUAAAAGAAAUGUUUUCACACCCAGUUGGGACUUUCGUUCCAUCUACUUUAAGGGUGUACCAUGAAUCACUAAUCUCCUUCACAAUGUGCUCUGUGACAAUCUCACUCGUUAGAGAUAUGACUUGGUUCUGGAUGUCAUGGGACAUAUACGUGGCAUUAUGUGUAAUUGUGCUGGAUGCUUUUUGUCCUUUUUCAGCGUGUACUCUAAUGAGGCUAAGAACAUUCAGCGGAGUGAUUCAGAAAUCAGAAUGGUUCGUGUUCUGGAGCCAGAGUCUGUUCUCGGCCUCAGGGAUCCUGAAUCUGAUCCUGAAUCUGCUGUCCAAAUGAAGCUCAGAUCUGAUGAAUCUGAUUCACUGAAUCAUUCUGAAUCUGAGCAGAUCAACGGCUCGUGUCCAGAGGAUCAUCCUGUCAUUACUUGUCUGGCAACAUAAUACAGCGCUUUUAGUCGUAUCUGCGGAUCUGUGUGAACGGGAAUCAUUUGAUAACUCGAGAAAACUUUUUUGUCUUUAAUAUAUUGUUGUUGUCGUAUGAAUGCACUCUUUUAACAUUUGUACUUUUUUAUCAUUUACUGUCGAAAUAAUAGUAAAGAACCAACUGACCACAUUAGAUUUGUUGUUUUGAAUUAAAGGGAUAGUUCACCCCAAAAAUGAGAAGAUGUUGAAGAGUGUCAGUAAGCAGACAGUUGACGGUCACCAUUGACUAAUAUAGGUUACCAUGUUUGAACUUGAGGAUAGUAGUUUACGCUGUAGUAACAGAAAUGGGAAUUGUGAAUAUUUCACUGGUCUCUAAAAUAUAUUCAAGAUAAUGGAUUCAUGAGAUGAGAUUUUAACUUUUUUUAAGAAAUCUUCAAUGCAAAAACGAUGAAAAGCCAAUGCAGGUGGACGACCCCAUAAAGUGCCUCAUUUUGUUUUUUUAAUAUUCCCUUUCAUGCAGUGUGUGAUAUAUGAUAAUAUAAUGUAUAUUGAUGUCUGUGAAUAAAAACAUUCAGU